rnacentral:misc_RNA from 1 species
GAGGGAUUUUGCUUCUCCCUUAAUUUGCUCAUGCUUCAAUGUCUCAGUCAGUUUAAGGUAGACUCUAUUCCUUUUUUCACCGGACCGAUAUGCAACCAUCCAAGUGUAAUGGUUUGACACCCAGAGUCUUUUUAAACACAUCUGCUCCUGUGCAAUGAAGAUCUUUUCAGCCCCUUUGACUAUGAAGUAUCCCCCAUGAUCAAAU